UACGUAGGGUGCGAGCGUUGUCCGGAUUUAUUGGGCGUAAAGGGCGCGUAGGCGGCUCGGCACGUCCGUUGUGAAAUCGCCCGGCUCAACUGGGCGGGGUCAGCGGAUACGGCCGAGCUUGAGCAAGCUAGGGGGCAAUGGAAUUCCCGGUGUAGUGGUGGAAUGCGUAGAUAUCGGGAGGAACACCAGUGGCGAAGGCGGUUGCCUGGAGCUUUGCUGACGCUGAUGCGCGAAAGCGUGGGGAGCGAUCCGG
rnacentral:rRNA from 1 species